rnacentral:misc_RNA from 1 species
GAUGAAGAACGUAGUGAAAUGCGAUAAGUAGUGUGAAUUGCAGACUUUAGUGAAUCAUCGAAUCUUUGAACGCACAUUGCGCCCCUUGGUAUUCCAUUGGGCAUGCCUGUUCGAGCGUCAUUUACACCCUCAAGCUCACGCUUGGUGUUGGGCGUCUGUCCGCGCUUUCGAGCGUGGACUCGCCCCAAAUCCAUUGGCAGCGGCUUCGCCGGCUUCUCGCGCAGCACUUUGCGUUCAAGAAGGUCUCCGGCGGGCUCGCGUCCAUCAAGUCACCCCUCAUUUUGACCUCGAAUCAGGUAGGGAUACCCGCUGAACUUAAGCAUAUCAAUAAGCGGAGGA